rnacentral:rRNA from 1 species
CUACGUGCCAGCAGCCGCGGUAAUACGUAGGGGGCAAGCGUUAUCCGGAUUUACUGGGUGUAAAGGGAGCGCAGACGGCUUGGCAAGUCUGAAGUGAAAGCCCGGGGCUUAACCCCGGGACUGCUUUGGAAACUGUGAAGCUAGAGUGUCGGAGAGGUAAGUGGAAUUCCCAGUGUAGCGGUGAAAUGCGUAGAUAUUGGGAGGAACACCGGUGGCGAAGGCGGCUUACUGGACGAUAACUGACGUUGAGGCUCGAAGGCGUGGGGAGCAAACAGGAUUAGAUACCCUGGUAGUCCACGCGGUAAACGAUGGGUACUAGGUGUAGGAGGUAUCGACCCCUUCUGUGCCGGAGUUAACGCAAUAAGUACCCCGCCUGGGGAGUACGACCGCAAGGUUGAAACUCAAAGGAAUUGACGGGGGCCCGCACAAGCGGUGGAGUAUGUGGUUUAAUUCGAUGAUACGCGAGGAACCUUACCCGGGCUKAA